AUACCUGGAAAUCUGCAAUUUUUCUUGAAAAAUCCAUUCAAAAAAAUCAAAUAUCGAAAAAUUGAGCCGAAUAAUCGGCACUGUACGCAUUUUACCUCGUUCAAUUGAAAUUUCGUACUUAUAACUGCUUCGAAUCAUGUUACACGAUUCAAAUUUUCGACACCUGCGUUUGCAUCUUGUAUGCUGAAUCAUUGUUAUUCAGCCUCAGCGAAUCAUUACAUCACACGUGUUUUUUUUCGUAUAACACAUCUUAUCGUUAAAAUCUCUGGGCUUCAUUUUGCAGAUGAUUUCUGUUCACUUGACGGUUUCUUAUUGGAAAGGGCAAGGGGUGAAAAAAAAACUUCUCGCAAAUUUUGAACGUCUAUCGAAUUCAUUUGUAGUUGAAUAUUUCCUCGAGUUAAGUUUUAUACAAUCAAAGUACAUGGUUUCGUUAUUAAAAAAUGUCCAAGUUCGAAUUGAUUUUGAUUUUUUUCGCGAUCAUCACUUUUGACGCAUUCAAUUUUGGCCACGCCGACCCCCUCACAACGGAGCAAAUCCAGAAUAAUAUAGAGACCUUAUUAAAAGAAUUCGGUAGAAUAAUAGGAUCCGAUGCAGCAACCAAUACGCAAGGUUAUUUAGCAGCUUUAGAAGCAA